GGUGCGGUAGAAGCCGCCGUGCUCCACCAUCUGAACACAACACAGGAGUUACCCCACACACAGACACACAGCAGGAGUUACCCCACACACAGACACACAGCAGGAGUUACCCCACACACAGACACACAGCAGGAGUUACCCCACACACAGACACACAGCAGGAGUUACCCCACACACAGACACACAGCAGGACGUUACCCACACACAGACCACACAGCAGGAGCCGGACACAGCGAGACGACACACGGACACACAGCAGGAGUUACCCCACACACGGACACACAGCAGGAGUUACCCCACACACGGACACACAGCAGGAGUUACCCCACACACGGACACACAGCAGGAGUUACCCCACACACGGACACACAGCAGGAGUUACCCCACACACGGACACACAGCAGGAGUUACCGCACACAGGACACACAGCAGGAGUUACCACCACACACGGACACACAGCAGGAGUUACCCACCACACAGGACCACACAGCAGGAGUUACCCCACACACAGACACACAGCAGGAGUUACCCCACACACAGACACACAGCAGGAGUUACCCCACACACAGACACACAGCAGGAGCCGGACACAGCGAGACGCACCUGUCUGAUGAAGGAGAGGACCCGCUGCGUGCCGUACUUGUCCAUGUCGGGGAGGUUGAUCUCGUCACAGAAGAGCACCAGCCACUUGCCCAGCUGCACCGGAGCCAGGACCACGCCGUUAGGAGUCCUGCGGUACUCGCAGUAAUGAUCGAAGGUCUUCAGCAGCAGCUCCGGAGUCGUAGCGCUGGAGAAGUUCAAACCCACCACCUGAAGAAAACACACAUUACACAAGUGUCCCACCUCGAUCUGAGGCACCUUCCCCUGCCAGGACUGCCACUCGCCCGUGAUGGACACCUGACGGAUUCAGAGCAGCGUUAGAGUCACACACUCACCUCAGACAUCACACUCAAUCCGAGACUGCGUCUGCUCACACCUCGUAGUCGAUGAUCGGCACGUUCGGCGCGGACGGGAGAGACACGGUGGUGAUGCGCCGAAUGUAUUCUCCCAGCUCCGCUCGCAUCUUCAGCCUGCUGUCACCCGAGAAGGACCACAGCACUGCGUAGAUCAGGUAUUUCUGCACGACAAAGGUUAAAGGUUAGCACUUCCUAUUGAUGUGUGGUUUGUUAGGAGGACAAUAUUUGUCUGAGAUACAACUAUUUGAAAAUCUGGAAUCUGAGGGAGACAAAAAAAUCUAAAUAUUGAGAAAAUCAUCUUUAAAGUUGUUCAAAUGAAUUCUUAGCAAUGCAUAUUACUAAUCAAAAAUUAAGUUUUGAUAUAUUUACAGUAGGAGAUUUACUAAAUAUCUUCAUGAACAUGAUCUUUACUUAAUAUCCUAAUGAUUUUUGUCAUAAAAGAGAAAUGUAUAAUUGUGACCCAUACAAUGUAUUGUUGUCUAUUGCUACAAAUAUACCUGUGCUACUGAUGACUGCUUCUGUGCUGCAGGGACACAUAUGGUCCUAUCCUAACAAACCAUACAUCAAUGGAACGUCUCAUUAUUCAGCUUUCAAAUGAUGCAUAAAUCU
rnacentral:lncRNA from 1 species